rnacentral:rRNA from 1 species
UACGAAGGGGGCUAGCGUUGCUCGGAAUUACUGGGCGUAAAGCGCACGUAGGCGGUCUUUUAAGUCGGGGGUGAAAUCCUGGAGCUCAACUCCAGAACUGCCUUCGAUACUGGAAGACUUGAGUCCGGGAGAGGUGAGUGGAACUGCGAGUGUAGAGGUGAAAUUCGUAGAUAUUCGCAAGAACACCAGUGGCGAAGGCGGCUCACUGGCCCGGUACUCGACGCUGAGGUGCGGAAAGCGUGGGGAGCAAACAGGGGAU